ACAAGUCAGAAGUGAAAUCAUAGGGCUCAACCCUGUGGCUGUUUCUGAAACUGUUAAGCUUGAGCAUAUAAGAGGUACCUGGAAUUCCUAGUGUAGGAGUGAAAUCCGUAGAUAUUAGGAGGAACACCAAUGGCGUAGGCAGGGUACUGGUAUAUUGCUGACACUGAGGCACGAAAGCGUGGGGAGCGAACGGGAUUAGAUACCCCGGUAGUCCACGCCGUAAACGAUGGAUACUA
rnacentral:rRNA from 1 species